CCUACGGGGGGCAGCAGUGGGGGAUAUUGGACAAUGGGGGGAACCCUGAUCCAGCGACGCCGCGUGAGUGAAGAAGUAUCUCGGUAUGUAAAGCUCUAUCAGCAGGGAAGAAAGAAAUGACGGUACCUGAGUAAGAAGCCCCGGCUAACUACGUGCCAGCAGCCGCGGUAAUACGUAGGGGGCAAGCGUUAUCCGGAUUUAUUGGGUUUAAAGGGUGCGUAGGCGGGCUGUUAAGUCAGCGGUCAAAUGUCGGGGCUCAACCCCGGCCUGCCGUUGAAACUGGCGGCCUCGAGUGGGCGAGAAGU
rnacentral:rRNA from 1 species